GACGAACCGUGCGAACGUUAUUCGGAAUCACUGGGCUUAAAGGGUGCGUAGGCGGGCCCCCAAGUCAGGGGUGAAAUCCCACGGCUCAACCGUGGAAGUGCCUCUGAUACUGGUGGCCUCGAGGGGUGCAGGGGCGUGCGGAACUCAGGGUGGAACGGUGAAAUGUGUAGAUAUCCUGAGGAACACCGGUGGCGAAAGCGGCGCGCUAGACACCUUCUGACGCUGAGGCACGAAAGCCAGGGGAGCAAACGGG
rnacentral:rRNA from 1 species